UACAGAGGUCUCAAGCGUUGUUCGGAAUUACUGGGCGUAAAGUGUGCGCAGGCGGCAGAGCAAGUCGAGUGUGAAAGCCCCGAGCUUAACUUGGGAAUUGCGCUCGAAACUACUUUGCUGGAGUGUGGCAGAGGAAGGUGGAAUUCCACGUGUAGCGGUGAAAUGCGUAGAGAUGUGGAGGAACACCAAUGGCGAAGGCAGCCUUCUGGGCCAACACUGACGCUCAUGCACGAAAGCGUGGGGAGCAAACAGG
rnacentral:rRNA from 1 species